rnacentral:rRNA from 1 species
CCUACGGGAGGCAGCAGUAGGGAAUUUUGCGCAAUGGGCGAAAGCCUGACGCAGCAACGCCGCGUGAUCGAGACGCCCUUCGGGGUGUAAAGAUCUGUCAGUGGGGACGAAACUUGACGGUACCCACAGAGGAAGCACCGGCUAACUCCGUGCCAGCAGCCGCGGUAAUACGGGGGGAGCAAGCGUUAUCCGGAAUCAUUGGGCGUAAAGAGGUCGUAGGCGGCACGUAAAGUCUGGUGUUAAAGGCAGAGGCUCAACUUCUGUACGGCACUGGAUACUUGCGAGCUGGAGUGCGGUAGAGGUAAGGGGAAUUCCUGGUGUAGCGGUGAAAUGCUUAGAUAUCAGGAGGAACAUCAGUGGCGUAGGCGAUUUACUGGGCCGUAAUUGACGCUGAGGAACGAAAGCGAGGGUAGCAAAUGGGAUUAGAUACCCCAGUAGUC